rnacentral:rRNA from 1 species
GACAGAGGUGCCGAGCGUUAGGCGGAAUCACUGGGCUUAAAGCGUGUGUAGGCGGAUGGGUAAGUACCUUGUGAAAUCCCACGGCUCAACCGUGGAACUGCUCGGUAUACUGCUCGUCUUUGAGCCAACUAGGGGCGCCGGAACAAACGGUGGAGCGGUGAAAUGCGUAGAUAUCAGGAGGAACACCGGUGGCGAAGGCGGG